rnacentral:rRNA from 1 species
CAGGCCAAAGGCGCAAUGAAAGUGAAGGCCGGCCCGGUCGGCUGCGUUGGGAUCCCGCAUUCAUUUUUUUGUGUGCGGRCGCACCAACGGCCCGUCCCGAUCGCCGCGUCGACGGGGCGGAGUGAUAGCGUACACGUUGGGACCCGAAAGAUGGUGAACUAUGCCUGGGCAGGACGAAGCCAGAGGAAACUCUGGUGGAGGUCCGCAGCGAUUCUGACGUGCAAAUCGAUCGUCAGACCUGGGUAU